UACGAAGGGGGCUAGCGUUGCUCGGAAUCACUGGGCGUAAAGGGUGCGUAGGCGGGUUUUUAAGUCAGAGGUGAAAUCCUGGAGCUCAACUCCAGAACUGCCUUUGAUACUGAAAAGUCUUGAGUAUGGGAGAGGUGAGUGGAACUGCGAGUGUAGAGGUGAAAUUCGUAGAUAUUCGCAAGAACACCAGUGGCGAAGGCGGCCCCCUGGGCCGCACCUGACGCUGAGACGCGA
rnacentral:rRNA from 1 species